UACGGAGGAUCCAAGCGUUAUCCGGAAUUACUGGGCGUAAAGAGUUGCGUAGGUGGCAUUGUAAGUUGGUAGUGAAAGCGUGCGGCUCAACCGCAUACACAUUAUCAAAACUGCAAAGCUAGAGGACGAGAGGGGUAAUUGGAAUUCCCAGUGUAGGAGUGAAAUCCGUAGAUAUUGGGAGGAACACCGAUGGCGUAGGCAGAUUACUGGCUCGUUCCUGACACUAAGGCACGAAAGCGUGGGUAGCAAACGGG
rnacentral:rRNA from 1 species